UACGUAGGGUGCAAGCGUUGUCCGGAAUUAUUGGGCGUAAAGAGCUCGUAGGCGGUCUGUCGCGUCGGCUGUGAAAACUUGGGGCUCAACCCCAAGCCUGCAGUCGAUACGGGCAGACUAGAGUGUGGUAGGGGAGACUGGAAUUCCUGGUGUAGCGGUGAAAUGCGCAGAUAUCAGGAGGAACACCGGUGGCGAAGGCGGGUCUCUGGGCCAUAACUGACGAUCAGGCACGAAAGCGUGGGGAGCAAACAGG
rnacentral:rRNA from 1 species